GAUGAACGUUGGCGGCGUGCCUAACACAUGCAAGUCGAACGGAUACCUUCGGGUAUUAGUGGCGCACGGGUGAGUAACACGUGGUUGACCUACCCCAAAGUAAGGGAUAACGGUCCGAAAGGACUGCUAAUACCUUAUAAGCCCCCGAGGUUUAGAAGCUCGGGUGAAAAGUUCAGGCGCUUUGGGAGGGGACUGCGAGCCAUCAGCUGGUUGGUGUGGUAACGGCGCACCAAGGCAACGACGGCUAGGGGGCCUGAGAGGGUGACCCCCCACACUGGAACUGAGACACGGUCCAGACUCCUACGGGAGGCAGCAGUGAGGAAUAUUGCACAAUGGGCGCAAGCCUGAUGCAGCGACGCCGCGUGAGUGAUGAAGGCCUUCGGGUCGUAAAGCUCUUUUCUAGGUGACGAGGAAGGACGGUAGCCUAGGAAUAAGUGUCGGCUAACUACGUGCCAGCAGCCGCGGUAAAACGUAGGACACAAACGUUAUCCGGAGUUACUGGGCGUAAAGGGCGCGCAGGCGGAUUGGUAAGUCUACUCUGAAAGCUCCUGGCUAAACUGGGAGAGGCGAGUGGAGACUGUCAGUCUAGAGUGAGGAAGAGGAAAGUGGAAUUCCGCGUGUAGUGGUGAAAUGCGUAGAGAUGCGGAGGAACACCAGUGGCGAAAGCGGCUUUCUGGUCCCUUAACUGACGCUGAGGCGCGAAAGCAUGGGGAGCGAACGGGAUUAGAAACCCCGGUAGUCCAUGCCGUAAACGAUGUUCACUAAACGUUCGUUACCCGCGAGGGAAGCGGGUGUUGAAGCCAACGCAGUAAGUGAACCGCCUGGGGAGUACGGUCGCAAGGCUAAAACUCAAAGGAAUUGACGGGGGACCGCACAAGCAGCGGAGCGUGUGGUUUAAUUCGAGGCUACACGAAGAACCUUACCUGGGUUUGACAUCAUGUUGAAGUCGCCAUGAAAGUGGUGAUGCCCCGCAAGGGGCAAUAUGACAGGUGCUGCAUGGCUGUCGUCAGCUCGUGCCGUGAGGUGUUCGGUUAAGUCCGCAAACGAGCGCAACCCUCGGUGCCAGUUACAAGUGUCUGGCGCGACUGCCCGUGGCAAACGGGAGGAAGGUGGGGAUGACGUCAAGUCAGCAUGGCCUUUAUAUCCAGGGCUACACACACGCUACAAUGGCGUAUACAAUGGGUCGCGAAGCCGCGAGGCGGAGCCAAUCCUACAAAGUACGUCUCAGUUCAGAUUGCAGGCUGCAACCCGCCUGCAUGAAGUUGGAGUUGCUAGUAACCGCGCGUCAGCAGAGUGCGGUGAAUACGUUCCCGGUCCUUGUACACACCGCCCGU
rnacentral:rRNA from 1 species